rfam:Daucus carota subsp. sativus cultivar DH1 chromosome 9, whole genome shotgun sequence.
GGGCAGUGAUGAGUAUUGAUGAAAGUCAUGCACCACUCUGAAUAAUCAGUGAUGAUAACCUUUCUCUUACCCAUUUUUAUACCUGAGCCC